rnacentral:rRNA from 1 species
UACGGAGGGGGCUAGCGUUGUUCGGAAUUACUGGGCGUAAAGCGCACGUAGGCGGCUUGGUAAGUUAGAGGUGAAAGCCUGGAGCUCAACUCCAGAAUUGCCUUUAAGACUGCCGAGCUAGCAGGUGAGAGAGGUGAGUGGAAUUCCGAGUGUAGAGGUGAAAUUCGUAGAUAUUCGCAAGAACACCGGUGGCGAAGGCGGCCAACUGGUCCGGAUCUGACGCUGAGGCGCGAAAGCGUGGGGAGCAAACAGG